UACAGAGGUCUCAAGCGUUGUUCGGAUUCAUUGGGCGUAAAGGGUGCGUAGGCGGCGCGGUAAGUCGGGUGUGAAAUCUUGGAGCUUAACUCCGAAACUGCAUUCGAUACUGCCGUGCUUGAGGACUGGAGAGGAGACUGGAAUUUACGGUGUAGUGGUGAAAUGCGUAGAUAUCGUAAGGAAGACCAGUGGCGAAGGCGGGUCUCUGGACAGUUCCUGACGCUGAGGCACGAAGGCCAGGGGAGCAAACGGG
rnacentral:rRNA from 1 species